AAAAAGUAUUUUAAAGGAGUUAUUAAGGAUAACUAGCAAAUUUAUAACAAAAGGAGGAAUAAUACCAAAAGCCACAACUGAUUAACUGAAUUAAAAAAAUCUGCAAAAUCAAACCAAAAUUGUGGCGAUCCUAAGGGAAACCUUGAUUAUAAACACUUCCUGAAGCAAAACAUUGUAUUAGGGAAAGGAAAGGAAAUCAACCGAGACUCCGAAAGUAAUGGUGAGUGAAAUCGGAUUAGCCUAAAAAACUUUCAAUUUGAAUAAUGAAUUUUAUAGAUAUAAGAAUAGUUUGGAAAACUGUAACUAUAUUUAUAUAAAUUUAUAAAAUUUAAAUAAUAACCAAAAUUAAAAAUCCAAAGAAGGUAUUCAGUCCUGUAGAAAAAAAAGUUUUUUUGUUUUUUUAAAAAAUUAAAGUUAAAAAAUAAUAAUUUAAAACUAAAAAGUACGAUGAGAGUAAACUUGUCGGAAUAUAGGGGAACCAUCCUCUAAGGCUAAGUAUUAUAAAUUUAGCGAUAGUGAAAAGUACUGUAAAGGAAAAGUUGAAAAAGUGAGUUGUAUAACGAAAUGAAAUAAACUUGAAUUAGUAACUCUAUAAGCAGUCGAAGUUUAAAAUAAAUGACGGCGUACCUUUUGCAUAAUGGGUCAGCAAGUUAAUAGAAGUAGCAAGGUUAAAAGCCCUAGCGAAAGCGACUAGACUAUUAGUUUACAAAGUAAUAAUAUAAUUGAGUUUAAACACUUUUUAUAUUUUAACUUUUUAAAUAUUUUUAUUACAAAUAAAAAUAGAAUAACCCCUUAUUUAUUAAUUUAUAUUACAAAGUUUCUUAGGUUUUACUUAAGGCGGUGUAUUAAAUUAAGAUUUAAGUGAAUUAUUUACUAUAAAUUAGUGUUGGAUAAGUUACUUUUAUUAGACCCGAAGCCAGUUGAUCUUUCCAAGACCAGAUUAUAAUGGAUCGAACGGUUGAAUGUUGCAUAAUUCUCCGAAGAGUUUUGGAAAGCGGUGAAAUGCCAAUCUGAACUGGUGAUAGCUGGUUUUCUACGAAACAUAUUUUAGUAUGACAUCUAUACAAAAUUUAUGGAGGUACAGCACGGCAAUUCCCAAUAAAUUUUAGAUAAACACAUAAACAGUAGUUUAUCUAUUAAGCGUUUAGGUUGCGGGGACCUCGAAAAUCUUACCAAUGGAAGUGAAACUCGGAAGUACAUAAAUUGAUGAUAGAUAUUCAGACUGCUCAUGCUAAGUUGGGUAGUCAAGACGGAAACAGCCGAGAACAUGGAUCAAGGUCCCAAAUGAUUAUUAAGUGAAAUUAAGGAAGUAACACAUUGAAUGCAGCUGUAAAGUGAGCCUGGUAGUCGCUAUCUUUUAAUGACCGUUGUAACAACGUAGCAGCCCUUAGAUUGUUGCGCCUAAAAUUUAACGGGUCUAAAUAAUCAACCGAUAUCCUGUUAAUUUAGAAUAAAAUAAAAAAAUAAAAAUUUUCUUCUAAAUUUAGGUAGUAGAACAUUCAGUAAUACUAAUGAUAAAUAGUGUUUCAUUAUUUUGAGGUAACUGAAGAGAAAAUGCUGACAUGAGUAACGUAAAAAGAAGUUAUAAAACUUCUCGCCGAAUACGAAAGGGUUAUAAGGAAAGGUUAAACCACCUUAUGUGAAUGCGGCCUCUAAGGAUCAAAACCAAUGUUUUGACUGAUGAGUAUUAUACUGAAAGUCCAUAUGGAAAAUAAAAAUGGACCAGGAAAAUUAAGUAUAAAAAAUAGUCUUUAAUACCCAAAAAUGAAGUAAAAAAACUAUUUAAAACUACCGUACCCUAAACCGACACAGGUUCGUAGGUAGAGUAUACUAAGGCGUAGAGCUAAAAGUUGUUAAGGAACUCGGCAAGUUGUCCUCAUAAGUUUGACGAUAAGAGGAACCGUAAAAAUUUAAAUUAGCCAUAAUUUAAAAUCUUUUGCGGUGUAAUAAAAUCGGAGGCCCCGACUGUUUACUAAAAACACAAUUCAGAGCAAUGAUUAAUAUCAUAGUAUUCUGGAUGAAAUUUGCCCGAUGCCAUUAAUAUAAGAGAGGUAAUGGGUGACUGUUACUAAUCGAAAGUCUGGUUAAUAGCGGUCUUAACUUAACUAUGAGGAUCCAAAGGUAGCAAAAUAAAUUGGCCAUUAAAUGUGGUCUGGUAUCAAUAAUGUAACGAUGGUCUCACUGUCUCUACAACUUGCUCAGUGAAAUUGAAUUACCCGUGCAGAUGCGGGUUACCUCCAGGGGGACGGGAAGACCCUAUGCAGCUUUACUGUAUUUAGUUAUCACAUUAAUCACAAAUUUAGUUAAUAGUAAUUAGGGAAGUCGAUAGACGAAAGAUGGAAUACCUUCGAAUUAAAGUUGGGUUAAUGUUUACCUUAUAAAUAAAAAUUUUAGAGGGAGAGUUGACUAAUUGGCAGUUUGACUGGGGCGGUCGUCUUUAAUAUAGUAGCAAAGUACAUCCAAAUAUAUAAUUAUAACACAAAUAUCUAUUUAUAAUUUAAAUAAGAUAUCCAGACAAAAAUUUUUCUGUUUCUUUUCCUCUCUAAGGGGUAAGCGGCAGAAAUAAUUUAUAUAAUAAUUAACAGAACAAAUUAACGAAAAAAAAAUAUUUUAUUUUUUUUACAUAUAAGGUAUGGCUAGAAAUUGAAUGGAGAUCAAUUAACCAGUGAAUGGUUAUGCAGAGCGUAAUGGCGGAAAGCAUGCUUAACUGAAAGACUUAGAAGUCGUACAGAUACGUAAGUAGGGCAUAGUGACCCCUCGCUAUAAUAUGGAAUAGACGGGGAUCAAUCGAUAAAAGUUACGCUAGGGAUAACAGGCUGAUAGCUGGCGAGAGUACACAUUGUCCCGGCUGUUUGGCACCUUACGAUUUAAUUCUUAAUAGGAAUUAGACAUCGGGGAAUUUUAAUAGCAAUAUUAACUUAGAAGUUGGUUAAAUGCUGGAAUAUCCUUAGAGCUUUCAAUACUAAUAAUUUAGUUAUAAUUUGGAAGAUUGGACAAUCAGCAAGGAAAAUUUAGUUUAGGCGAUCACAAUUAUAAUAAACUAUUUAAUUCUUCAACGAUCACACACCAACAACAAGAUUAAUAUCAAUUUACUCUUGAUACUUGUUGAAAAUAUGAUCUAAACUUAACUGAAAGGUUAAGAAUAUUAGUUUAUUUAGAUAGACUAAUAAUAAAUGCGAUAGUCAAUGUCGAGUAAAUUAGAAAUAAUUUUUUUUUAAAUUGGGUUAAUUUCAAGAAAAUCUCUAAUUAAAUACCACUUGCAGUUUUUUCUCAAUUGGUAAAAUAAAUUACAGAAAACUUGAAGCGAAGCUACUUUCGACUUUAGUUGUUUUUAUAAACAAAAUAACUAUGAAAGUAGAACGUUCAACGACUAGUAGGUGAGUUAAGUCUACAAUAAUCCUACCACGAAAGCCCAACAACUAAUAACUACCAAAUUGGUACCUUAUUUUAUUUUCAGGUUACCAAAAAUAAAAAUAAAAAUUAGUUGAUGACAUAGUCUGAACCAAUUUGUGAAAAUUGGAAGCUUAAGAUAAAGAGCUUAAGCGAUAACAAGUUGGUCGACUCAUCCUAUCCUCCGGGUGAAGAAGCUUGGAAGGGUUCGGCUGUUCGCCGAUUAAAAGGGUACGCGAGUUGGGUUUAAUACGACGUGAGUCAGUAUGGUCCCUAUCUUCUGGAGGAACAAAUAGUAAAAGGGGGAUGACCUUCCAGUACGAAAGGAUCAAUAGGCUGUGUUUCUCUAGUGUACCAAUUGUUGAACAUUUAUAUAUUUUAAAUUUUUAAAUCUAAAUUAUAUUAUAAUUAGGCAUAGUUGGGUAGCCACAAACAUAAUAGAUAAGCGCUGAAUGUAUAUUAAGCAAGAAACUAACCCCUAGAUACUAUCAUCAGAAUAAUUUCUUAAACCUAAAAAGUUUUGACUUUUUUUAAUUUUUACCUCCGCCACCGGCGGUAACUUUUUAAUUAAGAAUAGUGGACAAAUUCUCUCAAGGAUACCGCCACAAAGAAACAAACUCUGAUUUUUAUAAGAAAUAGAACAUUUCUAGAUAGGAUGCAAAUGAAAAUAUUGCGAAAUAUUUAGUUUAGCAUUACUAAUUUA
rnacentral:rRNA from 1 species